GCUCUCGGCCCUAUCAGCCUGAAGGCGCCCGAUCUCGUCUGAUCUCGGGAAGCUAAGCAGGGUCGGGCCUGGUUAGGAUCUUGGAUGGGAGACCACCUGGGAAUCCCGGGUUGCUCGAGGCU
rnacentral:rRNA from 1 species